GGGGCCGUAGUCUAGCUUGGACUAGGAUGCCAGCCUGGGGUUAAAACCCCAACCACCAGAUCGCUGGUGGUCCCGGGUUCAAAUCCCGGCGGCCCCA
rnacentral:tRNA from 1 species